rnacentral:tRNA from 1 species
GGGGUUGUGGCUCAGUGGUAGAGUGCUCACCUAGCACAGGUGAGCCCUGGGUUCAAUCCUCAGCACCACA